GCUGAGUUCUCCCUCCACCGAGCGCAGUGGGACUGCAGGCUCCUGCCCGCGCGCAAGGUACUGGCCGAACGCAACCGUGCAGCUUCUUUUCACCGGUCUCGCGGGUGCCGUGCGUGACUGCAGGGUGCGUGCACACGGACAAGUGUGCCCACGGGCGUCAGUCCUUUCAUGCCGUUCAGGGGCGACGGUGCGGCCCGCCUUUAGGCCCUUAAUGUCAGUUCUAUGUCCAACUCAACCUCAGCGCUUGCAGAUCAGGAAGAUUGUGUGCGGACAGGAUCCGCAGCUGGGUGUAACUGGAACAGAGGCAUGCUUGACUCCUUUGCUUGCACAUCACUUAUUCUUUAUACCUUGAUGAACACUCAGUUAACCAGAUGCAGCUACCUUUCGCACAAGUCACUGCAGGAGCUGAAACAGACGCGGAGAGGUGUGAAUAUUGACGGCAGCCGCCCACCCCCGAGGGCCGCAUGUGUGAAAUCGGGCCGUCCCUCCAGGCCGCUGCACACUCCUGCGAUCUGCGCUGGAAUGUCCGCUGUUUCAAGGUGCUGCCCAGGCCAAAGCAUCGGCCGUCUAGGAGGAACACGGAUUUUUUUGCACAACUCUUUUCUCAUUCAGACCUGCAUGUUUUCGAGGUUUGUGCCCCCGUUUUGUCGAGUGUCUCGUUUACAGAGGUCAUGCGGUUCUGGGAGAGACUGAUGUGAAGAUGUGUGGAAUCUGAUCCAGGCUGGGGAGCUGCUCCAGUGAGAGAGGAGAUGACCGAGCCAUCUGUGCAGGUAGAGUGCAUCUCCUCAGGCCCAGGGCAUUACUGCUACUCUGGUACAUUAAGAGACAGACUCUGCCGCUUGGGUGACCUGCCCUUAACGGAGCGGACAGCAGAUUAACGCCAA